rnacentral:ncRNA from 1 species
GAUAGCUGGCUGGUGGCAGCCAGGUGUUCAUAGUGAGGUUGCUUUGUGAUCUUUCCAUGUUCAUUGUGAAGCAGAAUUCACCAAGCAUUGGAUUAUUCACCCACUAAUAGGGAAUGUGAGUUUGAAUUAGAUUAUGGUGGGACAGGUU